UGUAUCAAAUAUCUGUGUCUUUUUUUUUCUUUUUAAUGGGAUACAUCGAUGUUUUUUUCUAAAAUGAAAAUUAAAGAAAAACACGAAAAUUUUUAGUACUAUGAAACAAAACAAAUCUAUACUUUUAGUUAAAAAUAUUUCAAAAAAAAAAAUUCAACCAAUAACACUUUUAUUGUGAUAACCGAUAAGAAAGAUGAAGAUAUCCUUUCAAAUUUUCUCCAAAGGGAGGAGUCCAAGAAAAAGGGAAUCUUAUUACACCUUUUUGGAUCUGCGGGAAAGGGAAUCGUGAUCGUCCAAGGAAUCCAAUAGCAUCUGCAUUUUCAAAAUUACUACCGUCGGAUUCUAAUUCGUGUUUGUCGUCUUCCCAACCGAUUUGGCACCUCCAUUCAUCGGUGUACGGUUCCGACGUGGCUGUUUGCUUUCUUCUUCUCCUCCGACGAACGAGACCUGAGAAUUGAGAUGUUAACAAUGGCGUUUCUAGGCUCUGUGAUUUCUGUAUUGUCUAUUUCCUUUCCGUCGUCAAACCUUUCGUCGGCCUCACCGUCAUCACUGCUCAACGGCUUUUGUUUCGGUUACCGUUUCAAUUCACUGCUCGGAGAGUUUUAUUGCACCUAUUGCUCCUUGAAGAGGAAAAGACGACUCGCCAUUCUCCUCUUGAUUUUCCAAUUGAACAGUAGAGCUGAAACUGGUAUAUAAUUCUCUCAUAAGCAGUAGCAAGUGAAAGAACAUCUAUGGAGUUCAUCAGCAUUUGAAGGAAGUGCCUAGGUAUUGGUAAGACUAUGAAACUUCUUGGAAUGAAAUGAGAUGCGUUUCUGUUCAAUCAUUUGUGGCUAGUCUAGUUUCAGAGAAUUUUUUUUGAUUUCCAUAGACCUAAACAAGCAAAAAUCUCUAUUUAGUUAUCCAUGUGAUGAAAACCCAGUUGGGAUCUCACUCAAAAGUUUCCUACGACCCAAUCUCUCUGGGGCCACUGUAAGGAUUCAAUAAUGAAGAAUCCAACGUGAGAGAAAAGGAAGUGUGGGCAGAGGGGCCCCUUUGUUGCUGUGGACCAGAUUAAGACCCUUUGUCGAUGGAGAGAAGACUCUGGUAACAUGCUUCUUGGAUUAUUGUAGGGGAGAGAGUUAGAGAAGAUUCUGCUGAGGAGUAACUUUAAGGAAAAGUGACAGAGAGAGAGAGGAAGGCAGAGAUUCUGAUAAGGAGGCAUAUGAAUUAUCCCUAAGCCGAGGAGUAAAUUAAGCAGCAGAGAGAAUCUGAUAAGAGGGGAUGUUUCAAUUAUCCCAAGCCUAAAAAGUAACUUUAUGCAGCAGUAGAGUGGGAGAAUUGUGAUAAGGAGGUAUUGGAAAGUGAAUUGUUUUGGUAAGAAAAAGACAAAAGAAGAUACAAAGAUAGGCUAUCGAAACAUGGUUGAAGUCAAGAUAAUGGCAUCUCUCUCUUCCAUACUCCAAUGAAGUUCACCAAAAAUCUGUAGCUGUAUUGAAUAUAUGAAUCCAAAUGAUGCUCAACAUUUCUUGUUGGUGGGCCGCAUACUACUUUAAUAACAGUAGCAGCACAGACAGCGAUGGCUGCAACCUUGCAUGUGUUAAUUGCGAACUACGGCCACAAAGAGUCAAUUUUUUACAGCUCAAGAACCUGACUGCUUUCAACUUUCAAGGGUACGUGUAUAUUCCUAACCUGUUAUGUUAUUUCAUAUAUUAUUUGGUACAACUUGACUUUUUAAACUAGUUUAAGUUUGUGGAGCUGAAUUAUAGCUCAGCUAUAAUCGAUAGGUGGAAGGUUCAAUUCAUUUUCUUCACAAUUGUUGCAUUGAAAAAGCAAAAAAAAUUGAUUUAAUAAGACUAAUACUGGAUUAUUUAUACUACAAAAAUUAAAUUUAAAAUAAUUUUUCUAAUUUUUAAAAAUCAAUUUUGUUUUAUUGCAAAAUAUUAUUAUAUUAAAUACAUAUGGUGGUGGAAAUGGACUCUGUGUUAUAUAUAUAUAUGUUAUAAUAUAUUUUAACAUGCGUCAGUUUUGAUAAUUUAUUUUUCUUAAACUGUGAACCCAGGAAGUAAACAAAAAACUUCUUUUUAAUAAUAUAUCACUUUCUUUUGAGAACCUUUUGAUAUUUUUUAUUUAAUAUCUAUUUUUUAAUACAAAGAUUUAAAAAAAAAAAGAAAAAGGAAAAGGAAAAAGGAAAAAGAAAAAAGAGCAAGUAGCAGCAAAAGUGCAUCUGUUACCAACUUGGUUGCUUGUGAAUUGUGAUGGUUGCAUCAUCUUUUUCCUGAUGGUCAAUAAUUGCCUAAUUCUAUUUGUAUCAAUAUCUUUGGUAUAUCAACCAAAUUAAUGUGUACUAUAUUUGAUAUAUCAAUUGAUUAUGAUGUAGGUUAGUUGUAUUUCAAUGUUAUGUUAUAAAUGAAUUUUGAAUGAGUAUUGGUAAACUGCUUAUACUUAGUAUUUGAUGUAGUAUUGACACAGGUAAUGAUAUAUUUGA